rnacentral:rRNA from 1 species
GGGUUGUGAGGUUAAGCGACUAAGCGUACACGGUGGAUGCCCUGGCAGUCAGAGGCGAUGAAGGGCGUGCUAAUCUGCGAUAAGCGCCGGUAAGGUGAUAUGAACCGUUAUAACCGGCGAUACCCGAAUGGGGAAACCCAGUGUGACUCGUCACACUAUCAUUAACUGAAUCCAUAGGUUAAUGAGGCGAACCGGGGGAACUGAAACAUCUAAGUACCCCGAGGAAAAGAAAUCAACCGAGAUUCCCCCAGUAGCGGCGAGCGAACGGGGAGGAGCCCAGAGCCUGAAUCAGCAUGUGUGUUAGUGGAAGCGUCUGGAAAGGCGCGCGAUACAGGGUGACAGCCCCGUACACAAAAGCGCAUGUGCUGUGAGCUCGAUGAGUAGGGCGGGACACGUGGUAUCCUGUCUGAAUAUGGGGGGACCAUCCUCCAAGGCUAAAUACUCCUGACUGACCGAUAGUGAACCAGUACCGUGAGGGAAAGGCGAAAAGAACCCCGGCGAGGGGAGUGAAAAAGAACCUGAAACCGUGUACGUACAAGCAGUGGGAGCCCCACCACUAAGCCAGUGGUGAACUCCACAUACGCAUCCUUUGCUGAGGAUACGGUUAACGGAGCGAAAGCGACGUUCAACCGCAAAAGAAGCAGAGGGGGCUUAGUGGUGGGGUGACUGCGUACCUUUUGUAUAAUGGGUCAGCGACUUAUAUUCUGUAGCAAGGUUAACCGUAUAGGGGAGCCGGAGGGAAACCGAGUCUUAACCGGGCGUUAAGUUGCAGGGUAUAGACCCGAAACCCGGUGAUCUAGCCAUGGGCAGGUUGAAGGUUGGGUAACACUAACUGGAGGACCGAACCGACUAAUGUUGAAAAAUUAGCGGAUGACCUGUGGCUGGGGGUGAAAGGCCAAUCAAACCGGGAGAUAGCUGGUUCUCCCCGAAAGCUAUUUAGGUAGCGCCUCGUGAAUUCAUCUCCGGGGGUAGAGCACUGUUUCGGCUAGGGGGCCAUCCCGGCUUACCAACCCGAUGCAAACUGCGAAUACCGGAGAAUGUUAUCACGGGAGACACACGGCGGGUGCUAACGUCCGUCGUGAAGAGGGAAACAACCCAGACCGCCAGCUAAGGUCCCAAAGUCAUGGUUAAGUGGGAAACGAUGUGGGAAGGCCCAGACAGCCAGGAUGUUGGCUUAGAAGCAGCCAUCAUUUAAAGAAAGCGUAAUAGCUCACUGGUCGAGUCGGCCUGCGCGGAAGAUGUAACGGGGCUAAACCAUGCACCGAAGCUGCGGCAGCGAACGUAUCACUUAAAGCGAUUCAGCGGGUUACGAUUGACGGAGCGAAGCGACGUCAAAGCGUAUACAAAGUCGAGUCGGUUUAAGGAUACGUUCGUUGGGUAGGGGAGCGUUCUGUAAGCCUGUGAAGGUGGCCUGUGAGGGUUGCUGGAGGUAUCAGAAGUGCGAAUGCUGACAUAAGUAACGAUAAAGCGGGUGAAAAGCCCGCUCGCCGGAAGACCAAGGGUUCCUGUCCAACGUUAAUCGGGGCAGGGUGAGUCGACCCCUAAGGCGAGGCCGAAAGGCGUAGUCGAUGGGAAACGGGUUAAUAUUCCCGUACUUGGUGUUACUGCGAAGGGGGGACGGAGAAGGCUAUGUUGGCCGGGCGACGGUUGUCCCGGUUUAAGCGUGUAGGUGUGUGUUCCAGGUAAAUCCGGUUCACUUUAACACUGAGGCGUGACGACGAGGCACUACGGUGCUGAAGCAACAAAUGCCCUGCUUCCAGGAAAAGCCUCUAAGCAUCAGGUAACAUCAAAUCGUACCCCAAACCGACACAGGUGGUCAGGUAGAGAAUACCAAGGCGCUUGAGAGAACUCGGGUGAAGGAACUAGGCAAAAUGGUGCCGUAACUUCGGGAGAAGGCACGCUGACACGUAGGUGAAGUGAUUUACUCAUGGAGCUGAAGUCAGUCGAAGAUACCAGCUGGCUGCAACUGUUUAUUAAAAACACAGCACUGUGCAAACACGAAAGUGGACGUAUACGGUGUGACGCCUGCCCGGUGCCGGAAGGUUAAUUGAUGGGGUCAGCGCAAGCGAAGCUCCUGAUCGAAGCCCCGGUAAACGGCGGCCGUAACUAUAACGGUCCUAAGGUAGCGAAAUUCCUUGUCGGGUAAGUUCCGACCUGCACGAAUGGCGUAAUGAUGGCCAGGCUGUCUCCACCCGAGACUCAGUGAAAUUGAACUCGCUGUGAAGAUGCAGUGUACCCGCGGCAAGACGGAAAGACCCCGUGAACCUUUACUAUAGCUUGACACUGAACAUUGAGCCUUGAUGUGUAGGAUAGGUGGGAGGCUUUGAAGUGUGGACGCCAGUCUGCAUGGAGCCGACCUUGAAAUACCACCCUUUAAUGUUUGAUGUUCUAACGUGGACCCGUUACCCGGGUUGCGGACAGUGUCUGGUGGGUAGUUUGACUGGGGCGGUCUCCUCCUAAAGAGUAACGGAGGAGCACGAAGGUUGGCUAAUCCUGGUCGGACAUCAGGAGGUUAGUGCAAUGGCAUAAGCCAGCUUGACUGCGAGCGUGACGGCGCGAGCAGGUGCGAAAGCAGGUCAUAGUGAUCCGGUGGUUCUGAAUGGAAGGGCCAUCGCUCAACGGAUAAAAGGUACUCCGGGGAUAACAGGCUGAUACCGCCCAAGAGUUCAUAUCGACGGCGGUGUUUGGCACCUCGAUGUCGGCUCAUCACAUCCUGGGGCUGAAGUAGGUCCCAAGGGUAUGGCUGUUCGCCAUUUAAAGUGGUACGCGAGCUGGGUUUAGAACGUCGUGAGACAGUUCGGUCCCUAUCUGCCGUGGGCGCUGGAGAACUGAGGGGGGCUGCUCCUAGUACGAGAGGACCGGAGUGGACGCAUCACUGGUGUUCGGGUUGUCAUGCCAAUGGCACUGCC